CUUAUAUGUUCACGUGGCGAAAUUUUCCUUUUGGCAAUGUUCUCUUAAUUUUACUUGUUUCAAAUAUUGAUUAAGUUUCGCAACAAAGCAAACGUGCCCGUCUGAUGUGUUGUCUUAAUUGGCUCAAUUUCGAAAUGGAAAGUUAGGUAAAUAUGGGUUGUUGAUUUACGUUGCGUAAUAUAAUUGUUGUGUAGGUACCUAGGUAUUGCAUCUUAUGUAUUCUUGAAUCUUGUUGCACUAUACCUACCGCAGAAUUACCUAUGCAUAAUUUUGCCUUAGGUGUUAGGAUGGGUUAUCAGAUAAGAUGAUGUCGAACAUCAUUCAGACAUUGGCAAGUAGACAAAGGUAUUGGACCAAACACUAGUUUUCCAGUUGGAUGGACUAUAGAAUCAUUGAAGGUCAAUAAUUUACGAGUCAUAGUCGAUAACUUGUGGAAUUUUUUGGGACCUUGUGCACCAUGCAAUUGUGGUGUAGCAGUAUGGUCCUUUUGGUUUAACCAUUCUGCAUUUAUCGUUCUUAAUACGACGCUAUACAGGGUGUUCAUUUGAAAACUUUCCAGCACGGAUUUAUCGAAAACCACUGAUUAAAGGAAAAAAACGCCGAGACACGUCAAAAGAUUUAUCAAGGGGGACAACUUUUUAACUAAAAACUACUUCACCCCAUUUCACCCUCUGAUUCGUUUCCGAAAAAAUUGGAAAAACCUUUAUUUAAUUUAUUUGUUUUCACAGAAGAACAUGACGAAAGAAAGUUAAAGAAAAGAAAGAUGAACUCCAAAUCUCAACAUGAAUAUUGUAAGGAACACGAGAUAGUUACCGCAAAUUUACAAAAAAAAUCACUGGAAAUGAUGGAUAUACUAAAAUUACACAGACAUUAGAA